rnacentral:rRNA from 1 species
UACGGGGGGGGCAAGCGUUGUUCGGAAUUACUGGGCGUAAAGCGCGCGUAGGCGGCUUUUCAAGUCAGACGUGAAAGCCCCAGGCUUAACCUGGGAAUUGCGUUUGAUACUGUUAGGCUAGAGUGUGGAAGGGGCUACUGGAAUUCCGUGUGUAGCGGUGAAAUGCGUAGAUAUACGGAGGAACACCAGCGGCGAAAGCGACUUCCUGGACCAGUACCGACGUUCAGGCACGAAAGCGUGGGGAGCAAACAGG